rnacentral:rRNA from 1 species
AUACAGAGGGUGCAAGCGUUAAUCGGAAUUACUGGGCGUAAAGCGCGCGUAGGCGGUUUAAUCAGUCGGAUGUGAAAGCCCCGGGCUCAACCUGGGAACUGCAUUCGAUACUGUUAAGCUAGAGUAUGGUAGAGGGAAGUGGAAUUCCAGGUGUAGCGGUGAAAUGCGUAGAUAUCUGGGGGAACAUCAGUGGCGAAGGCGACUUCCUGGACCAAUACUGACGCUGAGGUGCGAAAGCGUGGGGAGCAAACAGGAUUAGAUACCCUAGUAGUCC